rnacentral:rRNA from 1 species
GACGAACGCUGGCGGCGUGCUUAACACAUGCAAGUCGAACGGAAAGGCCCUGCUUUUGUGGGGUGCUCGAGUGGCGAAAGGGUGAGUAACACGUGAGUAACCUGCCCUUGACUUUGGGAUAACUUCAGGAAACUGGGGCUAAUACCGGAUAGGAGCUCCUGCUGCAUGGUGGGGUUUGGAAAGUUUCGGCGGUUGGGGAUGGACUCGCGGCUUAUCAGCUUGUUGGUGGGGUGGUGGCUUACCAAGGCUUUGACGGGUAGCCGGCCUGAGAGGGUGACCGGCCACAUUGGGACUGAGAUACGGCCCAGACUCCUACGGGAGGCAGCAGUGGGGAAUAUUGCACAAUGGGCGGAAGCCUGAUGCAGCAACGCCGCGUGCGGGAUGACGGCCUUCGGGUUGUAAACCGCUUUCGCCUGUGACGAAGCGUGAGUGACGGUAAUGGGUAAAGAAGCACCGGCUAACUACGUG